rnacentral:tRNA from 1 species
GGCAGUGAGGCUUAGUGGAAAGAGCAUUGGAUUGGGAGUCAAACCAGGAUGCGAGUUCCAGCUCUGCCA